ACCCAGAUGGCGGAAUGGUAGACGCGCUGGUCUCAAACACCAGUGAAGCAAUUCAUCUCGGUUCGAUCCCGAGUCUGGGUACUA
rnacentral:tRNA from 1 species